GCGGCGUGCUAACACAUGCAAGUCGAACGAGAAAGUGGAGCAAUCCAUGAGUAAAGUGGCGACCGGGUGAGUAACACGUGACUAACCUACCUCCGAGUGGGGAAUAACUCCGGGAAACCGGGGCUAAUACCGCAUAACAUCGCAAGAUCAAAGCAGCAAUGCGCUUGGAGAGGGGGUCGCGGCUGAUUAGCUCGUUGGCGGGGUAACGGCCCACCAAGGCGAAGAUCGGUAUCCGGCCUGAGAGGGCGCACGGACACACUGGAACUGAAACACGGUCCAGACUCCUACGGGAGGCAGCAGUGGGGAAUUUUGCGCAAUGGGGGAAACCCUGACGCAGCAACGCCGCGUGGAGGAUGAAGCCCUUUGGGGCGUAAACUCCUUUCGACUCGGACGAUAAUGACGGUACGAGUGGAAGAAGCACCGGCUAACUCUGUGCCAGCAGCCGCGGUAAUACAGAGGGUGCGAGCGUUGUUCGGAAUUAUUGGGCGUAAAGGGCGCGUAGGCGGUGCGGUAAGUCACCUGUGAAAUCUCCUGNCUUAACUGGGAGCCUGCAGGCGAAACUACCGUGCUGGAGUGUGGGAGAGGUGCGUGGAAUUCCCGGUGUAGCGGUGAAAUGCGU
rnacentral:rRNA from 1 species